UCUUUGACCUCGGGAUCAGGUAGGGGAUACCCCGCUGAACUUAAGCAUAUUCAAUAAGCGGAGGAAAAGAAACCAACAGGGAUUGCCCUAGUAAACGGCGAGUGAAGCGGCAACAGCUCAAAUUUGAAAUCUGGCCCCCAUUGGGGGUCCGAGUUGUAAUUUGCAGAGGGUGCUUUGGCAUGGGCGGCGGUCUAAGUUCCUUGGAACAGGACAUCGCAGAGGGUGAGAAUCCCGUAUGUGGGCGCCUGCCUUUGCCGUGUAAAGCCCCUUCGACGAGUCGAGUUGUUUGGGAAUGCAGCUCUAAAUGGGAGGUAAAUUUCUUCUAAAGCUAAAUACCGGCCAGAGACCGAUAGCGCACAAGUAGAGUGAUCGAAAGAUGAAAAGUACUUUGGAAAGAGAGUCAAAUAGCACGGUGAAAUUGUUGAAAGGGAAAGCGCCUUGCAGCCAGAACGUUGCCCGCAGUUGCUUCACCCCGGGCCUCUUUGCCUAGGGGCACUCUUCUGUGGGCAGGCCAGCAUCAGGGUGGGCGGUCGGAUAAAGGCCUCUGUCAAGU
rnacentral:rRNA from 1 species